rnacentral:rRNA from 1 species
GCCUAGCCAUNNNNNNCAAUAAAUNACNAAUUGUUCGCCAAACAACUACGAGUGAAAACUUAAAACUUAAAAGACUUGACGGUACUUCACACCACCCUAGAGGAGCCUGUCUAAUAACCGAUAAUCCACGAUUAACCCCACCCAACCUUGCCAAACAGUCUAUAUACCGCCGUCGCCAGCCUACCUUGGGAAAGCAAAACAGUAAGCACAACAGCACACACUAACACGACAGGUCGAGGUGUAACUUAUGGUUGGGUAUAAGAUGGGCUACAUUUUCUAACCAAGAACAGACGAAUAAACCGUGAAACCGGAAACUGAAGGAGGAUUUAGCAGUAGGACAAGAACACAAUACUUAGCCGAAACCCGCAAUGAAGUGCGU